UACGUAGGGUGCGAGCGUUGUCCGGAAUUACUGGGCGUAAAGAGCUCGUAGGUGGUUUGUCGCGUUGUCCGUGAAAACUCACAGCUCAACUGUGGGCGUGCGGGCGAUACGGGCAGACUGGAGUACUGCAGGGGAGACUGGAAUUCCUGGUGUAGCGGUGAAAUGCGCAGAUAUCAGGAGGAACACCGGUGGCGAAGGCGGUUCUCUGGGCAUUACCUGACGCUGAGGAGCGAAAGUGUGGGGAGCGAACAGG
rnacentral:rRNA from 1 species